rnacentral:rRNA from 1 species
GACGAACUCUGGCGGCGUGCUUAACACAUGCAAGUCGAACGGAAAGGCCCUGCUUUUGUGGGGUGCUCGAGUGGCGAACGGGUGAGUAACCCGUGAGUAACCUGCCCUUGACUUUGGGAUAACUUCAGGAAACUGGGGCUACUACCGGAUAGGAGCUCCUGCUGCAUGGUGGGGGUUGGAAAGUUUCGGCGGUUGGGGAUGGACUCGCGGCUUAUCAGCUUGUUGGUGGGGUAGUGGCUUACCAAGGCUUUGACGGGUAGCCGGCCUGAGAGGGUGACCGGCCACAUUGGGACUGAGAUACGGCCCAGACUCCUACGGGAGGCAGCAGUGGGGAAUAUUGCACAAUGGGCGGAAGCCUGAUGCAGCAACGCCGCGUGCGGGAUGACGGCCUUCGGGUUGUAAACCGCUUUCGCCUGUGACGAAGCGUGAGUGACGGUAAUGGGUAAAGAAGCACCGGCUAACUACGUG